CAAUGUUACAGCACUUUUAGAAUUUGUCUAGCAGAUUUACCUAUGUUUUUACUGGAAAACCCCC